CUACGUGCCAGCAGCCGCGGUAAUACGUAGGGGGCGAGCGUUGUCCGGAAUGACUGGGCGUAAAGGGUGCGUAGGCGGCUAAGCAAGUUAGAAGUGAAAUACCUAGGGCUUAACUCAGGUGCUGCUUUUAAAACUGUUUGGCUGGAGUGCAGGAGAGGUUAAUGGAAUUCCUAGUGUAGCGGUGGAAUGCGUAGAUAUUAGGAGGAACACCAGAGGCGAAGGCGAUUAACUGGACUGUAACUGACGCUGAGGCACGAAAGUGUGGGGAGCA
rnacentral:rRNA from 1 species